AAGUUCCAGGCUGAUCUCACUUUCUAUAGGCCACAUCAGUUAACGUCUCCAUUAUUCGAGAUUUAUAGUAGUGUAUGUGAUCGACCAUGUGAAGCGAAGGAGAAUGCACUCAUCCGUGCUUUAACUUAUUUUGAUGAAGUUCUAGGCUGGACGAUUGAAGACCUUAACUAUGUUCCAUAUCUAAGGAAGUGAGCCAGAGUAUAAAAUAUGUAACAUGCAUGGUUG
rnacentral:lncRNA from 1 species